AAACUUCACACUGGGGGCAACCCCGAUGAGGGAAUUCCUAGUGCCAGGGCCUCUGGUCCUGGCUUUUCUCCGGCGUAGACGACCGGAGGAAUAAGGGCUGGGUAAGACGGGUGCCAGCCGCCGCGGUAAUACCUGCAGCCCGAGUGGUGGUCGAUUUUAUUGAGUCUAAAACGUUCGUAGCCGGCCCGGUAAAUCCCUGGGUAAAUCGGGAAGCUCAACUUCCCGAAUUCCGGGGAGACUGCCGGGCUUGGGACCGGGAGAGGCUAGAGGUACUUCUGGGGUAGGGGUAAAUCCUGUAAUCCUGGAAGGACCACCGGUGGCGAAGGCGUCUAGCUAGAACGGAUCCGACGGUGAGGGACGAAGCCCUGGGUCGCAAACGGGAUUAGAUACCCCGGUAGUCCAGGGUGUAAACGCUGCAGACUUGGUGUUGGGGGCCCUUCGGGGCGGUCCAGUGCCGGAGAGAAGUUGUUAAGUCUGCUACUUGGGAGUACGUCCGCAAGGAUGAAACUUAAAGGAAUU
rnacentral:rRNA from 1 species